AGUAAGGAUAAAAUGUGAUGCGCACCUCCUACCAUUACCAAACCGAUUCCGUGUCGAUUAGUGGUGCAAAAGUGGGUGAGGUGGACGAGUGGGAGGAAGGAGAGCAAGGAGGCAGCGAGGGAGAGACUAGGGAUGGCAGUCAACACUUCUGUUCGUCCGUGAUGGUUCUCAAAGACGAGAGAUCAACGGGAGGAAGCUUCACGUCGAGCAACUCCCGGCAUUCAUGAUCGUCUUUUUUCUCAAGUCGCCGCCACUGCCUGCUGGUGCCACUACCAUAUGGAGCUGCGUGGUGAAGGGAACAAGUCUUGGCUCCCAGAUACCUGACACAACGGAGACGCGCUUCAUAAAUUCGGAAUGAACACAAGAUUGUUGCACUGCCACGGAAUGCUGACUGACCCUGACAUUCAUAUUGACGUGACACUGACAAACUCCGUCAAUGUGAAAGAAAAGAUGGUAUUUCGUGUGAUGUGUAUGCACCAAUGACCAAGAGCUGCUGUGUGAGAGGAGCCAGCAGGCCCAAAAUGUCUGUAACCGGCCCACGGCCUGAACGUGACACCCCUAAGUUGUGAGCCGUGUAUGCACUGAUUACUACGUACAAAAUGUCGCCAAAAAAAGGUAAAUUACUCCCAACAUGAUAAAUCAGUGGCAGAUGAGUGUAUUAAUCUAUGCAUGUCCAAUCACUUGAAAAUAAAUCUACAUAAUUUUCAACGUAAGUUACCAUGUGAUAGGACAUCAAUGUUCUGAGAACAAAUAACAUAGCUGGUAACAAUAAAAAGUUUAAUAAAUGAAUUGUUUUACAAUAACAACAAAGUUCUUCUCAUGGGGUAGCAGGCAGGUAUAGAGUUGUAUUAUACAAUGUGGCAAAGUUCAAGAAGCUUACCAUGUAGACAUAGGAUAGAAUGCCGUUAAGUGGUAAAGUAAAGCACGGUAGUAAAAAUGUUGAUAUAAAGGAGUGGGAACAUACUAUUCUUAAAUGGAGAGAGAGAGAGAGAGAGAGAGAGAGAGAGAGAGAGAGAGAGAGAGAGAGAGAGAGAGAGAGAGAGAGAGAGAGAGAGAGAGAGAGAGAGAGAGAGAGAGAGAGAGAGUGGAUUAUUGAUUUGUGAAGAAAAAAGUUUAUGCUCAAGAAAAUGCACUGGUAAACUGUCACCUGAGUGAAGUAACUGACAAAAUUUGAAUCAAAUGGACAAAAUAGAUCAGAAAUUAACACAAUGCUGUAGAGGACAAAGACUGCCUAAACCUUUCACUGAGUAGUGUGUAUAUGUGUUUUAUAAGUUAGGUUCACAGUCAUGGGCUUUGGGCUUCAAGUCUUAACCAGGUAAGGACAAUUUGGGUUCACCUUUUAUGCAACAGUUACCUUUGAUUAAGCAGAUAAGAGGUACAGAACUAUGUUGAAUUGUGAAUAAUCAAGCUCUUCAUCCCAGUCUCUUACAUUUUGCUUUUCUACCUAUAGAUACUGAGAUUAUGAAAAUAUUUUUACUUAAUUCUGCAAGAAUGGUAUACAUUAGUAGUUUAACUAUUUCUAUUUCAUAAAAAAAAUAGGUUUUAAACUAAAUAUACAGUUUAGAUAAUAGUACUUGAAAAAAAAAAAUCAUAGGUAAAUAAGGAUGUACAAUUAUAUAAAUGCAUGACACCUACAUGAAGUUAUGAAAGGCUGUGUUUACCAUACUCAAGUGUGCCAAAGUCAGAUACCUUGAGGAAAUGUAGUCAUAGCUAUAACAUGGAAAUAUUAAUCAUGCCAUAACUUGAACCACUUAUAUGAUCUUUCUUCUUUCUUGUGGUGUUAAGCAGGGCCAGUACAAUGCUGAAUUUUCUUUUCUUUUAUACAAUGUGAGCUUUUCACAGAAAUUUAUGGGGUAAAGGUGGUAUUUUUGGGGGGUACCUCCUAUCUAAAAGCCCCCCUACUAGGGAAUUGUUACCUUGAGUAAGGAAGCCCUAUCUACGUACACUCAGACCGUGGCCAAGUUUCGAAUCUGUACACUUGGAGACCUCUCAGACCUUAAAGUGACAACACUAACACCAAAUCUUCACUUUUAAGAAAAUUACAUCAAUAAUAUCACAACCAAGUGGCAUGGUGCUAUCCUGCUGCCCUCUCGCUCGUCAUCUCUGUUUGACGCCCAGUGACACAAGUCGCUGGCCAGUGUCCCACGCUGCCCCACAGACCAGUAUGGUGGUUAGGGAAGAUUUAUUUAUCUAUUCAUUUUCAUUUAUUUUAUUUAUUUUUUUUUUUUUUUUUUACGCUAUGGCCUCUAGCGCCUGUAGGUUUACUUGAAGAGCAUGUAUAGGAAGCUGUUCAGCUUCUACCCAUUAAUGGCGCAGGCAAUUCUAUUUAUAGUGGUACCCAUAUCAGGGUCCAUAUCACCACCUAAGCACAUCUUUGGUGUAACCACCUAUAACCUACAUGUGGAUGUUUGCCUGAUCCCCAUGCUCCAACUUUUUCUCUUUCUUUCUUUCUUUUCUUUUUUUUUCAUGCAAGAGAUGAAGACUGGCCAACAGUUACAAAAAUGUUCAAAUAAAAUGGCCCAUUGAAAUGCCGGAGCCUGAAUAUAGUGAAAAGAGUUAGUUUGUUGUAUGACCCUGCAAACCAGAAUACAAAGAGUGACUUGCACCAUCUGUAUCUCAUAAAUUUAUAUCACUGCAACAAGAUGACAUGGCAUUAGUCAGGACUGGAGAACUGUAAGCCUCCCACUAAGAAACUGCCUUGAACCAUAAUUGAACUGAUGAGUUUUCAAAGAGAGACUCAGCUCAUCUCAGCAUCACAAAAUCAAUCAAUCCUGUGUAAAUUCACAAGUCACCUUAUGUUAGCAGAAAAGUGAGGCUUAAAUACACUUGUCAUUACACACUAAGGAGUACAGCAAACCUCCAAAAAUCUUGAGAAUCAAACUCAGAACCACAAACUGCUCAAGUAGCUCAACUCAAAUGUUACAAAAUGCUUAGAUAGUAAGAUGGCAUUACAUACAACCCAAUCACUACAUGAUGUGACAAACUAAUUGUGAAAACACCAAGAAUUUAUCUGACAUCAACAUCAACAGGUAGGAAACGUAAACAUUAGCAUCUUGCGAUAUCUUAAUAAUAUAAGGUUCGGGAAAGAAAUUAAAUACUACUCAUGAUUCUUAAAGAAAAACAUAUUGUUACUCCUCAAAAAAAAAAAAAAAAAAAAAAAAAAAAAGCCAGUAAUGAAACACACAAUUGUACAAAUAAGUAAAAGACAAAAUAAAUCUGUCCAACACAACAGUUUCACAAAAUCACAACUUGCCUGUUUGAUAAAUAAAUUAUAAUUAAUCAAAAUAAAAAUAAAAAUUCAAAUGUCACAUCUUUAUCGCUAUGGAAACCAUAAUGUUCUAUUCAAGGGUCUACUUAAAAUCCAAUUGAAAUUAUCAAGACCACAACAAUUACGGAAUACAACAAACACCUAUGUAACACCUCCAAUGUGCUUAGCUUCACAAGAGUAAAUAACGGAAAAAAUACCAAUCACAAACAGUGUAGAGACUGACGCCAAACACGUGAGCAGGGAAGAGCAGUGUGCGUGGGUAAAAAAGCACAAUUAAUGACUAACAUUUAUUUCAGAAAUUCAUUUAUGUAAAUGUGAUACUGCCAACAUUAUUAUUAUUAUCAUUAUUAUUAUCUUUUUAACUUUUAGAAUGUCUGAUUUUUUUCCUGGCCUUUAUAUUAUUUUUCAAGUGUAAGAAAUUGAUUUAUGAUUACGCUGGAAAUACUUGCAAGCAUGAGUCUAUCCCAAAGUGAUAAGAGCGGAUUUAAUCACGUGACAAUAAACACAAAGCGUCACGAGCAUCUUGUGAAUCAAAGUAGUCAAUCUAUUACCUGGGAUGUGGAGGUGCUCUCGUGAAAAAAAAAAAAUUUUAACUAUCUAAACUACUUUUCAUUUGUAAAUAUUCAUUACAUAUUACAUUAUUCAUUACAUAGCCAUAUCCAAGUAAUUUCAAACUCAUAUUUCCUAAUUUAAAGAUUUUUAAACAUUUAACAAUAAAUCAUAACACUGCUUCUUGGUAAAAUAUUGUCCUUUAAUCUAAUUAAUGAUGGAACCUUCUAUUUCUUGAAAAACCCAGUGACAGGUUACUACUAGCCGACUUGCUCUGUGCCUCCUUUACCAUAUCUCUGCUGUGCAACUCCCCCACACCACAUCACUGCCACACUGUCCAUGAACUAUCUUGUAAAGUUCACCAAAUCACCCAUACAAUCUCCUCAUGGCUAAGCAAUAAAAACCCUUGCUAAAGUAAAUAAUCUCAGAGCCGACAAUAGAGCUGGCCAUACCUCUCGACUGACAAUGGGAUGUUUUGCUAACUCCACCCCCACAUUCAUUGACGACUAUGGCACAAAGCACUCGUCAUCACAUUUAGCAAACACCUCAUGAUUUUCCACUUUAGAACCACUACAGUGAUCUAUCUCAGUGAGAUCAAUCUUACAGUAUCAUACACCUAACAUGUAACUACACGUUUCUUUAUCCAGCAAAGCUAUGAUGCCAGCAUUUCAAGAAAUAAAUCUAAAAGAUUAGAUAAGAAAAACCAUCCUAUUUUUACAUACAGCUUAAAUAUACUGGCUUCACUGACGCAGGUCAAGAAAUUGUCAGGCUUCUCAGGUGAAAGUUUUCAGAAAGCAUUCUUUAAAUCUCUUACAAGAAAUGCCUAGCUGGAUUACUGGCUUAUAUGUGACAACACAAUAACCUUAUGUUUCUUAUUCCUUUCCUAAGUGUCCCAUUAAAAUCCUGCAUCACAUUUUCCCCCAUGUAAACACAACACAAAGUACAUCCACUGAUGCAUGACUCCUGACACCAAUGCACUGCCAUCUUACUGCAUACCACACCAAACACCACUCUACUAUAUACCGCUGCUGGAUGACUAGUACACACACCAGACACCCACAAACAAACCAGGCAACAGAAAACAGACAGACACAAACAAAAAGGAAAAAAAAUAAAGCAAAACUGAGGAGUCACAACAUUCCUAAUCCUACACAACAAUAUUUACCUCACCACUGACCACCCUUGACAUGAACCAAGCACCACACACACUCACCCAUAAACCAAGCAACAGAAAACACAUACACACACAAAAAAAAAAAAGAAAAAAAAAAAAUAAAACAAAACUGAGGAGUCACAACCUUCCCAAUCCUAGACAACAAUAUUUACCUCACCACUAAUCACCCCUAACAUAAACCACGCCAAGCCAGCCAUACUAAUCCACCACCACCCCACAUCCCUCCAAUAAUCCCCCACAACAAGACUCGACAAGAAUCAGCUGACUGCAACAGGUGAGGUGCAGUGUCAGUGUCAACAGAUCACAAGUCACCCCCGCCUCACCUUUACAUGAAGGAUUGGUGAGGUAUAUCUUGAAGUGGUUCACCAGUUCAUGAUUCGUCACCCUGCCACCCCGGAACACCAUAAAGUCCUUCACAGAUUCAAGAGUAAAUUCGUCAGAGAGGGAUGCCAUCACUGUUCACUGUUGUUGUUUUGGAGCAGCACGGCAGGUCCUGCUGUCUGGAACUCCAUUCCACAACCUGUUCAAGAUGCAUCCUUCCUCUGUGCUAUCAAAAACAAAUUGAAGAAACUCAUCAUAUCUGAGGAUUAAUUUGUAUGCAAUAAAUAUAAGUAUGUAGAUAUAUAAUAUGUACGUACAUAAAUGUGUUAUAUGAAUUUAAAAGAGUAUACAUUUGUGUAUGUGCAUGUUUGUGUCUAUCUGUGAUUCUGGAAUUCAUUAUUACAAUACUUGACAUCAUACAUUAAUCAUAUGGUUUGUGCUCCACUAAUAUAUACGUUUUGUAUAUGAGUAUGCAUAUACAUAUGUAAACAUGCAUACACAUGUAACGAUAUAUAUGUAUUAGUACAUAUUUGUGUUACUAUAAGUAAUAAGAACUUAUAUGUGUAUGCAUGUGUGUAUGUGCAUAUGUGUACCUGUGUGUUUGUUGAUUUACUUUAUCUCCAUUCUUUCAUAUCAUAUACUAAUUAUUUAUACUGUGCCUCAUUUUGCUUUCAUGACAGUCAAGUGUCUACCAAAUAUCAUAUUAUCUUGUUGUUACUAUUAUUAUCAUUAUCAUUAUGUUUAUUA